UUUAACAACUCUUUUUCUUUCCUUGUUCGUUGCGUGCGGAAAAGUUAAAGAGGAUGUUUCGCGUCGGGGACUGUGAAAAUAUGUAACAAAUUCAGACUUCUGGCAAAGAUCUGUAACAAUUAUCGAAAGACUGGCAAUGAUGAAUCUGUCCAUUGUUUAGAGCGGAAUGGCAGCACGCCCCUAUGACAGAAUGCAGAGGAUUGUCGGCUGCCUGUAAAAAUUGCCUGUAAGCUCAGGAAGGUUGGAUCAGUGAACAAAGAGUUCUAAUCAAUUCGUCAUUUUGGAAGAAAGAUGGAACGAGUUUCCUCGUCUGACGAAAGACUGUUUAAUCACGUGAUUUUUCAUAUCCUCAAAGACAGUUGCUUCUUUUAGUUAAUUAAUUGACACUAUAAACAAUGGAUAUGAAAACAUCAUUAAUUACAAAUAAAAAGGGUCAAUUGA